rnacentral:rRNA from 1 species
CAUGCAAGUCGAACGAUGAACCACUUCGGUGGGGAUUAGUGGCGAACGGGUGAGUAACACGUGGGCAAUCUGCCCUUCACUCUGGGACAAGCCCUGGAAACGGGGUCUAAUACCGGAUAAUACUUCCACUCGCAUGGGUGGGGGUUGAAAGCUCCGGCGGUGAAGGAUGAGCCCGCGGCCUAUCAGCUUGUUGGUGAGGUAAUGGCUCACCAAGGCGACGACGGGUAGCCGGCCUGAGAGGGCGACCGGCCACACUGGGACUGAGACACGGCCCAGACUCCUACGGGAGGCAGCAGUGGGGAAUAUUGCACAAUGGGCGAAAGCCUGAUGCAGCGACGCCGCGUGAGGGAUGACGGCCUUCGGGUUGUAAACCUCUUUCAGCAGGGAAGAAGCGAGAGUGACGGUACCUGCAGAAGAAGCGCCGGCUAACUACGUGCCAGCAGCCGCGGUAAUACGUAGGGCGCAAGCGUUGUCCGGAAUUAUUGGGCGUAAAGAGCUCGUAGGCGGUCUGUCGCGUCGGAUGUGAAAGCCCGGGGCUUAACCCCGGGUCUGCAUUCGAUACGGGCAGACUAGAGUGUGGUAGGGGAGAUCGGAAUUCCUGGUGUAGCGGUGAAAUGCGCAGAUAUCAGGAGGAACACCGGUGGCGAAGGCGGAUCUCUGGGCCAUUACUGACGCUGAGGAGCGAAAGCGUGGGGAGCGAACAGGAUUAGAUACCCUGGUAGUCCACGCCGUAAACGGUGGGAACUAGGUGUUGGCGACAUUCCACGUCGUCGGUGCCGCAGCUAACGCAUUAAGUUCCCCGCCUGGGGAGUACGGCCGCAAGGCUAAAACUCAAAG